rnacentral:rRNA from 1 species
AGAGUUUGAUCCUGGCUCAGAUUGAACGCUGGCGGCAGGCCUAACACAUGCAAGUCGAGCGGUAGCACAGAGAGCUUGCUCUCGGGUGACGAGCGGCGGACGGGUGAGUAAUGUCUGGGAAACUGCCUGAUGGAGGGGGAUAACUACUGGAAACGGUAGCUAAUACCGCAUAAUGUCGCAAGACCAAAGUGGGGGACCUUCGGGCCUCAUGCCAUCAGAUGUGCCCAGAUGGGAUUAGCUAGUAGGUGGGGUAAUGGCUCACCUAGGCGACGAUCCCUAGCUGGUCUGAGAGGAUGACCAGCCACACUGGAACUGAGACACGGUCCAGACUCCUACGGGAGGCAGCAGUGGGGAAUAUUGCACAAUGGGCGCAAGCCUGAUGCAGCCAUGCCGCGUGUGUGAAGAAGGCCUUCGGGUUGUAAAGCACUUUCAGCGGGGAGGAAGGCGUUAAGGUUAAUAACCUUGGCGAUUGACGUUACCCGCAGAAGAAGCACCGGCUAACUCCGUGCCAGCAGCCGCGGUAAUACGGAGGGUGCAAGCGUUAAUCGGAAUUACUGGGCGUAAAGCGCACGCAGGCGGUCUGUCAAGUCGGAUGUGAAAUCCCCGGGCUCAACCUGGGAACUGCAUUCGAAACUGGCAGGCUAGAGUCUUGUAGAGGGGGGUAGAAUUCCAGGUGUAGCGGUGAAAUGCGUAGAGAUCUGGAGGAAUACCGGUGGCGAAGGCGGCCCCCUGGACAAAGACUGACGCUCAGGUGCGAAAGCGUGGGGAGCAAACAGGAUUAGAUACCCUGGUAGUCCACGCCGUAAACGAUGUCGAUUUGGAGGUUGUGCCCUUGAGGCGUGGCUUCCGGAGCUAACGCGUUAAAUCGACCGCCUGGGGAGUACGGCCGCAAGGUUAAAACUCAAAUGAAUUGACGGGGGCCCGCACAAGCGGUGGAGCAUGUGGUUUAAUUCGAUGCAACGCGAAGAACCUUACCUGGUCUUGACAUCCACAGAACUUUCCAGAGAUGGAUUGGUGCCUUCGGGAACUGUGAGACAGGUGCUGCAUGGCUGUCGUCAGCUCGUGUUGUGAAAUGUUGGGUUAAGUCCCGCAACGAGCGCAACCCUUAUCCUUUGUUGCCAGCGGUCCGGCCGGGAACUCAAAGGAGACUGCCAGUGAUAAACUGGAGGAAGGUGGGGAUGACGUCAAGUCAUCAUGGCCCUUACGACCAGGGCUACACACGUGCUACAAUGGCAUAUACAAAGAGAAGCGACCUCGCGAGAGCAAGCGGACCUCAUAAAGUAUGUCGUAGUCCGGAUUGGAGUCUGCAACUCGACUCCAUGAAGUCGGAAUCGCUAGUAAUCGUAGAUCAGAAUGCUACGGUGAAUACGUUCCCGGGCCUUGCACACACCGCCCGUC